AUUGAACGCUGGCGGCAUGCCUUACACAUGCAAGUCGAACGGCAGCACGGGGCAACCUGGUGGCGAGUGGCGAACGGGUGAGUAAUGCAUCGGAACGUGCCAUUGAGUGGGGGAUAACGUAGCGAAAGUUGCGCUAAUACCGCAUAUUCUGUGAGCAGGAAAGCAGGGGACCGCAAGGCCUUGCGCUCUUUGAGCGGCCGAUGUCAGAUUAGCUAGUUGGUGAGGUAACGGCUUACCAAGGCGACGAUCUGUAGCGGGUCUGAGAGGAUGAUCCGCCACACUGGAACUGAGACACGGUCCAGACUCCUACGGGAGGCAGCAGUGGGGAAUUUUGCGCAAUGGGCGAAAGCCUGACGCAGCCACGCCGCGUGAGUGAUGAAGGCCUUCGGGUUGUAAAGGCUCUGUCGGGAGGGAAGAAGGCGCAAGCCUGACGGUACCUCGCAAGAAAGCACCGGCUAACUCUGUGCCAGCAGCCGCGGUAA
rnacentral:rRNA from 1 species